rnacentral:rRNA from 1 species
UACGGGGGGAGCAAGCGUUGUUCGGAUUUACUGGGCGUAAAGGGCGCGUAGGCGGCCACCGCAAGUCGACUGUGAAAUCUCCGGGCUUAACCCGGAAAGGUCAGCCGAUACUGCGGGACUAGAGUGCAGAAGGGGCAACUGGAAUUCUCGGUGUAGCGGUGAAAUGCGUAGAUACUGGGAGGAACACCGGUGGCGAAGGCAGCCCCCUGGGCUAAGACUGACGCUGAGGCACGAAAGCGCGGGGAGCAAACAGG